UGCCCUGAGAUGGUCUCAUCCUUUUGUAAGAAGGAGCUUCACAAAGCAUCCAUUGAUAACCACUCCAGUGCCUGCCUGAGGAUAUGCAUCAGAGCCCUGGAGGUGCUUUAUGGUAACAUUUGGACUGGACCAAGACCUCCAGAAGGAGCUGGAAUUCUCAGUUUUUCAUGUUCUGCCAACAAAAUACUUCAGCAGCUUGGAAGCAGCCUAUAGGCACAAGUUUGAUGACUCAGCAUUAAAGGAUGAGAGAGAAGUCACAUGACUGGUCAGUGAUUAGAAGCAGGACAAGCGGCAGGUCUUGCUCCCCUCACACCAGUCUCCCUGUUCAUGUGACCCAGGAACAUUUAGCUCCAAGGACAUCGGUGAAGAUAAGUGUGCAAAAGAUGAAAUUUUUCCUUCUUGUGCAAAGAAAGAAAAUUUUAUCUUCUCCAUGUGUGAGCCAGUAUGCAUGUUCUGAGCCUGGUGAAAU